UAACACAUGCAAGUCGAACGAAGUAGCAAUACUUAGUGGCAGACGGGUGAGUAACAUGUAGGUAUCUGCCCUUUGGCCUGGAAUAACACGAGGAAACUUGUGCUAAUACCGGAUAAGUCUUUACGGAGAAAGCUUUAUGCACCAUUGGAUGAGCCUGCACUUGAUUAGUUUGUUGGUGGGGUAAUGGCCUACCAAGACUGUGAUCAAUAGCUGAUUUGAGAGGAUGAUCAGCCACAUUGGGACUGAGACACGGCCCAAACUCCUACGGGAGGCAGCAGUGGGGAAUCUUGCACAAUGGAGGAAACUCUGAUGCAGCGAAGCCGCGUGAGUGAAGAAGGCCCUUGGGUUGUAAAGCUCUUUCGUCGGGGAAGAAAAUGACUGUACCCGAAUAAGAAGGUCCGGCUAACUUCGUGCCAGCAGCCGCGGUAAUACGAAGGGACCUAGCGUAGUUCGGAAUUACUGGGCUUAAAGAGUUCGUAGGUGGUUGAAAA
rnacentral:rRNA from 1 species